UUCACUCCAUGUCUCCAUCGUUCUUUUCCCCUCUAUCAAUUUCUCAAGUUCAAUUGAAGGAGGCGGAACCCUAGCCCCUCCUUUCUCUGCUUCUCGGCACAGCCAGCCAUCGCUACCGUUCACCGCCGUCUUCGGCGCUACCCAUCGCAUUCUACCGCGUCGCUCCGCCGUCUUCAACACCCCUCACCUCAGUUCCUUUCGGUUUCCCCUCCUGAUUGGAUCGGGAACUCAUCAAUCAGGGAGAAGGCGUGCGUCGGACCUGUCGGUCAGGUCGUCGGGGUUAGGCCGGCCGUCGCGUGGACUCCCAAGCUCUCGGUGACGUCAGGGCGCCGCCGCCGUUUCACCGCCGGAGCAGCUGCUGCCUCGCAGGCAGCUCACAGCUGCCGACGUCAUACGCUCAUCCUUCGGCGAAGCUCGGAGCCUCCCGCCGUCUCCGCCGGCAUACUCGCUGUCGCCACCGCCCAUGAGCAACGCGUUUUAUCGGCAAAAGCUAAGUCUCUAGUUUCUUUUACAUUUAGCUAAUAGUGUGAUUUUUAGAAAGGUUCAUGGCAUCAUGAGACUCAGGCUUGAGGGCAAGCUGAGAAAUUUCUACUGUGUACAAAUCUUAAGCUAAAGGGGAACCAAGUUUCAUUUAUUUCAAGCCUUGGGUGUUGGGCGGAUUAAUUAUGAAGUUUGAAAACAGUGGUACAAAUCUUAUCUUGUGUUAUCUUGUAUUCUGAUGUAUAUGGUGGAACUUUAGCAUACUGUGCUCUUGAGUUUCCAUUGUGAAACUAUUUUUUUGAUCUUGAAAACUGAUCAUGUCGUGAUUCCUAGUGUAAGGUGUGACUAUAUGAUGGCAUGGUUCAUGUCUGAGUUUUAGAGGAAGGUGGAUGCUUACCUUCUUCCACUACUCCGAUUCCCUUCCUCUAGCUUCAGGUGCCGGCCUCUCUCCCCUUCGGUUCUGGCUAGAAUUGAAACUGAUAUGUGGUCUGAAGGGGCAGGCUAAGGGUUACUCCCAUAUUUAUCCUGAAUCUGUAACUGAAAGCCUGAAAAGGCUGAUGUACUUGGGCAGAAAAGAGUCCUUGGUUGGUUAUAUGUUGGUUGUUUUCUCUGCAACAAUGCAGGGAUGUACUCGUGCAUUUAUUGGCAUUGUAACCUCUUUGGUUAUCAGUUUGCAGGGUAUCCCAGCUCUCAUUCGUGACUGCACACUUACUGAAUUUUGUGUGACCUUUUCGCAGGUACGAGCUGGAGUAAAGGUGGUUAGGAUUGGGGCGCAAAUGUUGUGAUUCUAUCUGUGAUUUCCUGCACUCGGCAGAGCCUGCGGUGUCCAGCAAUUGCAGCCUGCGGUGUCCAGCAAUUGCAGCCCUGCCAUCUUACCCAUUUUAGCAAGUUUUGGUCUCCAAACCUUAAGGUAGGGGGGGCUGAUCAUCUACGGCGAUCAACACGCAGCCUCGGCCCAACGUCCAUCGGCAGUCGAGCCGACAGCCGGUGCUAAACGUGCCGAAGCUAGCUCUCUUUUCUUCCUCGUAUUGUAAUAGAGUAGCUCCACUUGUAAACUUUCUUUCUUCAACAUGUAAUAGUUAGUUGGCGUGUAUUUCGUUUGUCUUUAUUUUCAUCGUCAAGCAUUUUGUAAAUUUAGACUUAGCUUGAAAAUUCUAAAUAUCAUGUUUUGUUUACUCAAGAAAAUAAACGAAUACUCUUUCGUUCUCCUUCUAA